rnacentral:rRNA from 1 species
UCGAGGAUCUUCGGCAAUGGGCGCAAGCCUGACCGAGCGACGCCGCGUGCGCGAUGAAGGCCUUCGGGUUGUAAAGCGCUGUCGAGGGAGAGUAAGGUCCGCAAGGGCUUGAACGAUCCCUGGAGGAAGCACGGGCUAAGUUCGUGCCAGCAGCCGCGGUAAGACGAACCGUGCGAACGUUGUUCGGAAUCACUGGGCUUAAAGGGCGCGUAGGCGGGCAGCCAAGUCGGGGGUGAAAUACUCCAGCUCAACUGGAGAAUUGCCCCCGAUACUGGCCGUCUCGAGGGAGGUAGGGGCACGCGGAACUUCCGGUGGAGCGGUGAAAUGCGUUGAGAUCGGAAGGAACGCCGGCGGCGAAAGCGGCGUGCUGGACCUCUUCUGACGCUGAGGCGCGAAAGCCAGGGGAGCGAACGGGAUUAGAUACCCCGGUAGUCCUGGCCCUAAACGAUGGGUACUAGGCAGGGGACCAGGCAUGGGUUCCCUGCCGGAGC